rnacentral:tRNA from 1 species
AGAGGCAUGGCUCAGUGGUAGAGCAUCUGCCUUGUAAGUGUGAGCAUCUGAGUUCAACCCCCAGUACCACAA